CGGAGAGGUUGUCCUUUUCUGGCAUCAGCGUUGCGGCUCGAGGCACAGCUGGUCCUGUGUCUGCUGUCCAUUGCCGCUAAGGCCUGUUGCUGCCAUUCAAGGAUCUCUCUCUCUCUCUCUCUCUUUCAUGCCGCUCUCUCCACCCCAUCUUGGGACUGCCGGCUCUAAGAAUUCCUGCUACAACACUGAAUUCAACCAGGAGGUGAUGUCACAUGCAAUCAGAAACUAUGCCACUGGUGAAGAGAUAUAUUGAGCCCUGCCUGGUUAACCUCCAGUGAGGUUAUUAGAGAAUUGGGAGAGGCUCAAAUCAGCAUCCUGCACAUAGUCAUCAAACCAUUGUGAAGUCUUGACUGGAUUGUGAAGGAUAUUUGAAAAGUAUUUUAAAGUCUACCAGAUCCUCCAUGUGAGUGACCAUGCAGCAAAAGAGUGAGGGUCCUCUCAGUGAUUAAGGUAACAUAGUGAUUAAGGUAAGGUAGUGGGACUGUGCUAUGUCAAACCCUAAAUUUGGCUUUCAGGAUGAGGAAGUAUUAAUUCUUCCACUGAUAUCUCAAAAGGUGAUCUGGACAAAGGAACAGGUAUCUCAGUCAGUGAUGUUAAGGAACCUCAUGUUGCAGCACAGAAGAUUUUUCAUCGUUGGAAGUUAAGGUUAGUUCACUUUCAUUGAUUCCUCCCUACACUGGACUAAAGCAUUUAAUCUGGAAACGCAUAGGUCUCUAUAUAGCUUAUCAUAACUUCUAUCCAUAGAAAGGGGCUUUCAACAACCUGUCAGUAUAUUGUGAAAUGUCUCCUAUAUCAACUGGUAAUAAGAAAUCAGAAUUACAGCAUUAAUGAAGUAUCACCUAGAUUGAACUAAGCAGGAAAAUUUUAGAUGGUAGUUUACUAUCACAACCAAUACAUAACGGUUCCUGAAUCCUAAAAAGGUGGAGUUCUUUAUGGUAUUAGUGCCUAUCUUCAAAUUACUUGCUCUCUGGAAAGAUGCUGAUAAAGUUUUGUCUGGCACCAUAGUAUCCCUGCUCUAUGGGAACCAUAUCUGUACAAUAGAAUCUCCACCCACUGGCAAGAUGAUAGCUCCAAGGACCGUCAUCUUCCAAGUGGGCAUGAAGCUGUUAGCUUUUUUUUUUUUUUUUUUUUUUUUUUUGUGCUUCUUAGUCAACUGGGGUUUUUCUGCUGUGGUUCUGAACCAUUUACUUGGUAGACGGGGUUAUAUAUUCCGAGUUAACCACUACUGGGUUAAGGGACCUAAUGUUAUUAGUAUCCACUUAACUAAUUUCAAACAUACUUCCUAGGACACAGUUUCAUAAAACUAAGGUUUAACAGACUGAAACCCAAAAUUAGUAAUAUAACUUCCCUUAGCCGUUUUUAAUGAAUGCCUUAGUAAUACUUUGGCUUCUUGAAGAGAAGCUAAUGCCAGAACCCUUUGAAAUCGUCCAUCUGCAGCCAGGCGUGGUGGCUCACACCUGUAAUCCCAGCACUUUGCGAGGCUAGGAAGGGCAGGUCAUGAGGUCAGGAGUUCAACACCAGCCUGCCCAACAUAGUGAAACCCCAUCUCUACUUAA